rnacentral:rRNA from 1 species
GACGGAGGGUGCUAGCGUUGUUCGGAAUCACUGGCGUAAAGGCGCGUAGGCGGCCAGGCAAGUCGGCUUGUGAAAGCCCGGGGCUCAACCCCGGAGGUGCGGCCGGGACUGCUUGGCUGGAGGCCGGAAGAGGAGGGUGGAAUACCCAGUGUAGAGGUGAAAUUCGUAGAUAUUGGGUGGAACACCGGUGGCGGAAAGCGGCUCUCUGGUCCGGACCUGACGCUGAGGCGCGAAAGCGUGGGGAGCAAACAGG